GGCCUGAUGGUCUAGUAGUAUGAUUCCUUGUUAGGGCCCACUUGCGGGAGUUUCGAGGAGGUCCCGGGUUCAAUUCCCGGUCAGGCCC